ensembl:lncRNA
CUUCUCUGCAGAAACCCGAUGGAACCAGGAAGUGGAGCCGAGGGGAUCAAAUUGGUUUAAGAACAUUUAAAUAAACCUAAACUGUAACUGGGUUCACACGGAACACAACCAGAACUGAGCCAGUAACUUCCCUUGACGGUGGAAACCACCUUCAUCUUGGUUAGUUCUGUGUUUAAGGGAGUUGUCUCAAGCUACAGGAGAUCUCCAUCACCUCCAUAACCUUGACCUGACCUGUGACCUGUGAACCCAGUCAGUGUGAGACGACGCUUUUCAUUCUCAGACACGAUUCUAAGAAGCAGCUUUGAUUGCCAACAUGAAGAUGAAGGCGUUUCCAAACAUUAGCCCGGCCCGAGCCUCAUGGCACCAGCAUGCGGCGGCAAGAAUCCAACCGCGGCAGAGCCGGUGCCUUGCCAAACCCAUGGCGACCCGUAGAACUCCCCGAGGAGAAGAUCGGAUGGUUCCCGUGCCAACCAAGUCCUCCUUCCUCCAGGAGCGGGACAUUGCGUGUUUGGUGAAACUUUCUAACUCGGUUUGUUAAACUGUUGAACAUGAAAACAACAAAGUGCACUUUGUGGGACAGAAACAAUAAACGUCGGUAAUUACUUUUAAUGUUUAGUUUUUAUGUAUUUCUAGUUUA